UUCCUCACGUUUUCCAGCAGAGAGGGGAGCAUAUCCCAACCACGCCACGAUGGGUGAUGCUUCCUUCUCAUCCUCAUGAGCUUUUCCUUGCUCACGUCACCAUUGCACAUGGAGUUGUAAAAGUAUGUUUAUUGGAACAUAAGUUUGUGUCUAGUUAUGAAGCUAUUAAUAAUCCAUGCAUGGCAUAUAUGCAUUAAUAAGACUGCAUAUCUUUCAGAUCUUUGGUCCAGAGCAGCUUCUAAGGGAAGAGUUCUAUAUCAUGGAGCUUCAGUCUCUCCUUAGACCUGAUACCAAAGGAACAGAAAGGAAGAAGAAGGAGUCCUGUUCCUUUUCAUAGCCCUGCAAAUACAGCUCAGCCAAAUCACUCCAGCCAGCUUCAGCUGUUCAUUACUCUACGAAUGCAACACUUUCUGAAGGAAAUUUGCUGCUGAAUUAAGCGGGGAAAGCGGGCUGCAAAACAAAUGUUGGUGAUAAUGAAUUGAAGUGAUGAUCUGAGGAGCUCAUAGUGCUUCACAAGCAUUAAUUAAUUAAACCCUACCAGAUCCUAGCGAGGUAGGCAUUACGGCCCAUACUUCAAUGCUGGCUGUGGUGUGCUAUUUCUGUGUCUCAAUAUCAUUUUGUUAAUAUGUAUUCUGAUGCGCCGACUGAAAUGGCGUCUGACUAGUAGAGAUGACUGUGCAUAUAUUUAAGCUGUGAAUAUUUUGCAUGAUGAGACUUCAUAUGUGAAAAAAGAAAGAAAGAAAGAAAAAAAAUCUUUGUUUUUCUUUAUACUGCCUUGUUCCUGAACAAAAAGUGUGUGAUAAAUGAGUUAUGCAGAAAGCACUGAAGGGCUGCUGGCAACAUACAGUUGUGUACGAUAUAUAGCUCAUCCUGUUACUGAAUUAGGACUAAUAUCUCUUUGUUUUGUUACUGAGAACCUGAAUGCACUUCAGUGAAUGUGAAGGUUUCUUCCUUUUGUAACAUAAUUUACCUAAUUGCUGUAAAAAAUUAACCUAUGAUUUUAACUGCAAUUAUUAGAGCACUUGGAUUUAUUAUUAAUAAAAUAUAAAAGUUAUUC
ensembl:lncRNA